AUGUAUGAACUAUGCAAUUUUUUCUAUUUUGACAAAUGAAUGGAAAAAAUUUACAAUUGAGUAUUUAAAUUCUUAAUAAUUUUACAAUUAAGUGAAAUUUAACUAUAUGGAUCGCUGGAAUUCAUGGGACCCACUUUUUUAUUUUUUAAUUGUUGAUUAGACGCUAAAUAAGAUGCCACGUGGGUUGCCACGAAGAUUAAAACUUAAAGGUGUAGUAAAUGACCUAUUUACCCCCUACAAGACCCUUAACCUUCUCAGUUACCCAUCUCAACGCCUCUCUCUCUCUCGCUCGCACUCUCUCUCCCCGAUCUUCACCGCGCGACGUCCCUGUCCACUACCGCCAGACCGAUUCCGGACAUUAAAUCGACGAAGAAAAGAGGCGGUCGAACCUCUCACGCUCUGUUCACGUUUUCGGCUUCCUUGCAUGCAGAAAGAGUCUCCGUUGACGAAAAUCAGGCCUAUUUUCGUCGAUAGUCCAUGCUUUUCGAUCUCCGGCGAUUUCUUGCCGUUUCUGACAGUUUCAACGUGAAGGACGAGAAGUGAUCGACUCCCCUCACUUGUGCGAUCGUUUCCCCUCUGUCAAUUCCGACAACAAAGCUCGAAUGGUGAAACCACCAUUAAUGGCGGCAUCAAGCGACUGUCGGUGCCUAUUCCGGUCAAACUAGCCACUGGCUCAACAAACGGACGACAAAAUUGAGCUCCCAUGAAAUUUCGAGUGUGGGGAUGUAUGAAUCGCAUAGUUCUGGCAAGAAUCAACUUUUCGGCCACCCUGGACGUCGGCUACAGCGGAGGUCCGGUGGGGGCUUGUGUGGUGACAGUCGCUGGUGGUUUUAGUGAGAAUUUGCUGUGAUUUUCCAUUUUUACGAUUGAUAUUUGUCAAAAAGUUCCUGAUUGUUAUUUGUCAAAAAUGACAUGGAUUUGCAUGUGGUCUUGUUUGUUUGAUGGUUUUGUUUUGAUUAUUAUUCCUCCAUGUUUUUUUUUUUUUUUUUUUUCAAAAUAACGGUAAAUAAGCCGUUUCACAUGCUCUUGAAUUUUAAUCUACGUGGCCAGCCCACGUGGCAUCUUAUUUGGUGCCUAAUCAAUAAUUAAAAAAAUAAAAAAAGUGGGUCCAGCCAUCUCUGUAGGAUUCGAGGGAUCCAUGUAGGUAAAUUUCACUUAAUCCCAAAAUUAUGGGGAGUUCAACCGUUUAAUUGUAAAUUUUUUUUAUUCAUGCACUAAAAUAGAAAAAAUUGCAAAAUUCAUACACCAAAAUUGCAAUUGUCUCCAUAAUUAAUCAUGUUAAAUAUUU
rnacentral:lncRNA from 1 species